GGGCAUCGCAGUGAUUGUGCCAGCCGCCGCGCGGUAAUACGUAGGGUGCGAGCGUUAAUCGGAAUUACUGGGCGUAAAGCGUGCGCAGGCGGAUUGUUAAGCAAGACGUGAAAUCCCCGGGCUUAACCUGGGAACUGCGUUUGUGACUGCGAGACUUGAGUACGGCAGAGGGGGGUGGAAUUCCACGUGUAGCAGUGAAAUGCGUAGAGAUGUGGAGGAACACCGAUGGCGAAGGCAGCCCCCUGGGCUAGUACUGACGCUCAUGCACGAAAGCGUGGGUAGCAAACAGGAUUAGAUACCCUGGUAGUCCACGCCCUAAACGAUGCCAACUAGGUGUUGGGGAAGGAGACUUCCUUAGUACCGUAGCUAACGCGUGAAGUUGGCCGCCUGGGGAGUACGGUCGCAAGAUUAAAACUCAAAGGCAUUGACGGGGACCCGCACAAGCGGUGGAUGAUGUGGAUUAAUUCGAUGCAACGCGAAAAACCUUACCUACCCUUGACAUGCCUGGAAUCCUGCUGAGAGGUGGGAGUGCCCGAAAGGGAGCCGGGACACAGGUGCUGCAUGGCUGUCGUCAGCUCGUGUCGUGAGAUGUCGGGUUAAGUCCCGCAACGAGCGCAACCCUUGUCAUUAGUUGCCAUCAUUUAGUUGGGCACUCUAAUGAGACUGCCGGUGACAAACCGGAGGAAGGUGGGGAUGACGUCAAGUCCUCAUGGCCCUUAUGGGUAGGGCUUCACACGUCAUACAAUGGUCGGUACAGAGGGUUGCCAAGCCGCGAGGUGGAGCCAAUCCCAGAAAGCCGAUCGUAGUCCGGAUUGCAGUCUGCAACUCGACUGCAUGAAGUCGGAAUCGCUAGUAAUCGUGGAUCAGCAUGCCACGGUGAAUACGUUCCCGGGUCUUGCACACACCGCCCGUCAAAU
rnacentral:rRNA from 1 species